rnacentral:rRNA from 1 species
AGGAUGAACGCUGGCGGCGUGCCUAACACAUGCAAGUCGAACGUCCUGUCUCGCAAGAGGCAGGGAGUGGCGGACGGGUGAGUACCACGUGGGUGAUCUACCGUGAGGUGAGGAAUACCGGCGAGAAAUCGCCGACAAGACCGCAUAGCCUCGGUGCAAGCCGAGGAAAGCUCUUUCGAGAGAGGGAGCGCCACACGAGGAGCCUGCGCCCGAUUAGCUAGCUGGUGGAGUAACGGUUCACCAGGGCGACGAUCGGUAGCUGGUCUGAGAGGACGAUCAGCCACACUGGGAUUGAGAACGGCCCAGACUCCUACGGGGGGCAGCAGUGAGGAAUUUUCGUCAAUGGGGGCAACCCUGAACGAGCAACGCCGCGUGCAGGAAGAAGGUUUUCGGAUCGUAAACUGCUUUUUCGUCGGGGAAGAGAACGGACGGUACCCGAGGAAUCAGCCCCGGCUAACUACGCGCCAGCAGCCGCGGUAA